CUGGUGGCCUUCUAUGAUGUCAUCACUGGCUGAGUAGAUGGUGGUAGAGCAGUGGCUGUUGUGUACCUUGACUUCAGCAUGGCUUUUGACACUCAGUAGGAGGUAAUUUUCUCAGAGGCUACCCAUGGGAUUCUGCAAAAGCCUUAGUUGACUGACUCACUUUGAGCAGACCAGACUGCAGCUGAAACCUCUAAAAGACUCAGCUCUUAAAGAUUCAUUUCUUGUACUAGAUGAGACAGCAACCAGCAAUGAGUUUUCAAAAGGCAACAGCCCCUGGAAAAGAAGAUCAGCAUGUAACUUAUUUGUCUACUGCAGUUUAC